rnacentral:rRNA from 1 species
AACGAACGCUGGCGGCAUGCCUAACACAUGCAAGUCGAACGAGACCUCCGGGUCUAGUGGCGCACGGGUUCGUAACGCGUGGGAACCUGCCCUUAGGUUCGGCAUAACUCCCCGACAGGGGUGCUAAUACCGGAUAAUGUCUUCGGACCAAAGAUUUAUCGCCUUUGGUUGGGCCCGCGUGGGAUUAGCUGGUUGGUAGGGUAAUAGCCUACUAAGGCGACGAUGCAUAGCUGGUAAGAGAGAAUGAUCAGCCACACUGAGACUGAGACACGGCCCAGACUCCUACGGGAGGGAGGAGUGGGGGAUAGUGGAAAAUGGCGGGAGGCAUGAAGGAGCAAGGACGGGUGAGUGAUGAAGGCAGUAGGGUUGUAAAGCUCUUUUAACCGGGAUGAUAAUGACAGUACCGGGAGAAUAAGCCCCGGCUAACUACGUG